CUGGCCCCUCCGGGGUCCGAGUUGUAAUUUGCAGAGGAUGCUUCGGGUGCGGCCCCUGUCUAAGUGCCCUGGAACGGGCCGUCAGAGAGGGUGAGAAUCCCGUCUUGGGCAGAGUGCCCGUGCCCGUGUGAAGCUCCUUCGACGAGUCGAGUUGUUUGGGAAUGCAGCUCAAAAUGGGUGGUAAAUUUCAUCUAAAGCUAAAUACCGGCCGGAGACCGAUAGCGCACAAGUAGAGUGAUCGAAAGAUGAAAAGCACUUUGAAAAGAGAGUUAAACAGCACGUGAAAUUGUUGAAAGGGAAGCGCUUGCAACCAGACUCGGCCUCGGGGUUCAGCCAGCAUUCGUGCUGGUGUACUUCCCCGGGGCCGGGCCAGCGUCGGUUUGGGCGGCCGGUCAAAGGCCCCAGGAAUGUAUCGUCCUCCGGGACGUCUUAUAGCCUGGGGUGCAAUGCGGCCAGCCGGACCGAGGAACGCGCUUCAGCACGGWCYCSU
rnacentral:rRNA from 1 species